GACUAGGCCAGAACUGAGCACUUUCGAAGUUCCCCAGGAGAGAUGGAUGCCGCGACCCCUCCGCAGUGACGCGACUUCCCCGCAGUGUUUGUGACCCUCCCCUUCCCGCCACCCUGCCAGCUUCAGGAGCCGCCCUGCGUCCUCAGAGACCCUGGCCCAGGCAGGCUCCAUCGAGGAGUCGCCGAGCCCGUGCCCGUCCCUGUGGUUCUCCACCCCAGUGAGGUCCCGUGCGCCCUCCUUCCCCACCUGGCCCCAGACCUCGCACUCCCCGACCGUCCGUCCCCGCUUCUCGCCCCGCGUCCCCGCACCUGCAUGCAGUUUGGCCUUCACGGCCUCCUCGGCGAUCCCCCGAGUGCACCGCAGAGGGCGCCCUACCCUCUACGUUGCCCAGGACACGCACUUGAAAAAAAGCCCUUUAGUUCCCCGCA